rnacentral:pre_miRNA from 1 species
UUUUUAGGGUAAGUAUGUCCCAUGCAAUAUUUGGAAAAUAUUUAUACUGAAA